rnacentral:rRNA from 1 species
UACGUAGGGUGCAAGCGUUGUCCGGAAUUAUUGGGCGUAAAGAGCUCGUAGGCGGUUUGUCACGUCUGCUGUGAAAUCCCGAGGCUCAACCUCGGGCCUGCAGUGGGUACGGGGCAGACUGGAGUGCGGUAGGGGAGAAUGGAAUUCCUGGUGUAGCGGUGGAAUGCGCAGAUAUCAGGAGGAACACCGAUGGCGAAGGCAGUUCUCUGGGCCGUAACUGACGCUGAGGAGCGAAAGCGUGGGGAGCGAACAGG